UUUAUUACGAUGAUAGGAAGUAGUAGCGAGUUUAUUCUUUUUAAGAGAGUCAACGGUUGGUGAGAGUUGAUAAAGAACCUUGUGAAUCCGUCCUGGAGUUGCUCGGCUGAAAUCAUAGUAGGCUGUAGCCGGCUUUACAUAGCCGUUAUAAAUUGAAGCGGAUUAAGCAAUUUUGUGCUUAAUCAAUUAGGGUGGCAACGCGGGUAUGCUCUCGUCCCUUCA
rnacentral:ncRNA from 1 species